GCCGGUUUUACAUUUAUUGUCCACUUGAUGGCACAGUAGAGCAAAUGAAGCACCAUGAAGCUUCGGCUCAUGAGUGAACCAAUUGGAUGGAAAGCUUCAAUGCUUCAUGAAGCUUCAUCUCGUCAUAAAAAAUGUGGAGACCUGAAGGAAACCAUUUCCUUAAGUAAUUUUUCCGUGUCAAAUCAAAUUAAACUUGUUGCAAUAUAAAUGGAUCACAUGCAUAUGUCACUCCGACUUUCUUUUUGAGAUGUGGAUGUUGGCUUCUGUUAGACUAAUUGCUGAGGUUGAGAGUCAUUCACCAGCAGCUGUCCAUCGUUAACUCUGAUCUCUGGCAACACUUAUAACCCUCCACAUGUGUUAGGUUCUACAGUGUAGGCCUUCAACAUGAUGAUUGCACAGUUUGUCGCAGGGUAAGUAAAUGGCUUGCUUGAAGUUAACUGGUUAAUGGUAAAAAUGUGUUGAUACUAUUGUCUUGUUUUAUAUUGUUUUAGGGCUUCCCUCUUUGCUCUGUUGAUUGUGGAAAUAUGCUGCCAUCCUGUUAAGCAAGGUGAUUGUAUCAUCCACUCCAGUAAAUUAUUGUGUUUCAGUUGUUUACUUUUGAUUAACUUGUGUUCUCUUGUAUGCAGGCUCUAAUCCUGGCGCUUCUUUUAAGAGCAGUAACAUGAACACUGCUCCUAAUUUGGAUUUGUACCGGGAAGUGCCUUCUGGCCAGUUUUCACCUGGAGCUGUUCGGUUUAACAAUGCUCCUUCUCAAGGCAUCUCUACACCAAUUGAUCAUGCAGUGCCAGAUACAAGGCCCAGUGUUUCUGAGUUUAUAGUUCAAAGAGAAAUAACGUCACUUGUUGGCUCUAGUUCCCCUGGCCUGCUUUACUCGGGGAACAAGGGCACUUUGUACCAGGAAGUGCCUUCUGACCAAUUUUCAACUGGAGCUGUUCAGUUUAACAAUGCUACUUCUCAAGGCAUCUCUACACCAAUUGCUCAUGCUGUGCCAGAUACAAGGCCCAGUGUUUCUGAGUUUAUAGUUCAAAGAGAAAUAAUGCCAUUUGUUGGCUCUAGUUCCCCUGGACUGCUUUUCUCAGGGAAUAGGGCCACUUCAGUGAGGCAAAACUCUACCAGUUCUGCACAACCAGAAGCUGGGUUUCAAUCUGCCUCACAAGAUGCCAACUGGGCUGUUGCAUCUCCUCCUGAUCUGUUCUACGGCGGUGAGGAAAUGUCGACUGGCACUCGUGGUGUUGUCUCCAGUCGACCCAAGAAGCUGAGUCUCCUUCAACCAAUGUACCAGGCAGGGGAGUUGUCCAAUUAUGAGCUAAGCAAUGAGCACGGUGACUUCGAGAGGGAGACCGAGGAACAAGGCUGGUGGCCUCAGCAACCACGUCCUAUGCAAGAGUCUGCUGGACAAGGCUUCGCCAGCCAACCUCGUCCAGUCUUCAACAUGGGUAGAAGCUUGAGCCCUUAUCAUUACUACGACUUCUCUUUCCUUACCGGCCAGUAUCCUCCAGGCACAUUCAGUCAUGCCAGCAGCAGCUACGAGCAGGGAAGAGACUACUGGCAAGACGUUCACUAUAUGAAAGACUCUGGUACCUCUAACCCCAGACCUGAACAGCAGAUCCAGACCUUCACUGGUGACUUUGGAGCUCCCCAGAGCAUUGAGUAUCCCAGUACGCCUGUGGGAAGUCCUGUGAUGUCUGGUUAUGGACAGGGUGGUGCUCAGCCUGGUCUAGAAGCUUCUUCCCCUCAACACUUCUGGCAGUCAAGCCGUUGGCCAAAUCAUGUAUGACAAAAUAUAUUGACACAAAUGACUAACUAUUAUUGUAACUAGUACUAAUCUUGCUCUUUUCCUAUCUUUUCUAUGUGUAUAGGCCUAUUAGCGGUGUGGAUCCCUACAGCAUGAACAAAGUUUUCGGAUGAAUAAAGCUUUUGUAAUUUACUCUUGCUUCAAGAUUGUUUCUCUUGACUAAAGGAGCCCCGUGCCAAAGUGGCACAAAAUGAAAUUGUCAAAAAAACCUAUGACUAAUGAUGUUCCACUGCAUGGUAUGCCACAGCUCUACUCUUGGACUCUCUUUGGCUUCCAUUGGGAGAACCUGUGGAUGGUACCUAGUUUAUUUUUUUGGUACUACCUUGGUCAAUGUUUUGUAAGCAGAUGCUAAGAGGUGGUGGUGGUAAAACCCUGCACACCAGACUACACGAAAAAUCAGACUGUGGUAGCACAAUUUAUAACUAACACUACAAACCAGUUAAGCUGAUUCUUGCAGCUCAAUUUCUCUGCAUGCCUUGUUAUAGAGUCAAAUAAACUCUAUCCUCUCUAUGUGCUGACAUAAAAGUGCUUAUCAGGCUCAGUUGAUUGGAUCUAGAAACAGAACUCAUGGGGAAAUGGUAACAAUACAGACUCAAGAUGUAUGACAGUUGGAUGAGAUCACGGUCAGACAGAGGUGACUGUGCAAUGCGUCUGACUCAGCUCAGAAGAGUUGGUGUUAAAAUCAAAUCCGGGUCAAACCGCUAUGUCUGCCUUUGCAUUAAUGGCUUAUUAGACUAAUACAGAUUUACAUUGAGCAGUGGAGGUGAUAUCACCUUGAUGUGCCUGCUCGAUUUGUGUGAUUGAUCAAAUAUAUUUUCUGUGAUAUUUAGAAGUGCUCAGCAGUUCCAGUUAUUUGUGUUAAACAUGUGAUUAGACUAGAUUUACAAUUGCAGCUUACUCUUCAGUUUGACCAUUAUUUAUUUUUGUGUGAUCAAUUGAAUGAUAACCCAUCCUUAUGUAUCCGUUUUGUGACAUGUAAAAAGUGCUUAGAAGGCCCUGUUGAUCGAUAUAAAGUCCCAUCUAAGCAAGUGAAAGCAGACUCUGUGGUGCAGCACUUCUGACUCGAGAUCAGAAUGAUGCAUGUUCAAAUUCCAUCAGGGUCAAUCUACCACAAUGUGCUGUGACUUCUAUUAACAUAACAGAUGGUUAGACUCAUUUAUAACUAACACUACCAACAAAUUAGCAGGCUCCCACUUUCUCUACAUGCCUUGCUAUGUAUUUGUUACUAAUUCCAAUAAAAAAAACACU
ensembl:lncRNA uncharacterized LOC115014695